CCUACGGGAGGCAGCAGUGGGGAAUAUUGCGCAAUGGGCGAAAGCCUGAUGCAGCGAUGCCGCGUGUGGGAUGAAGGUCUUCGGAUCGUAAACCACUGUCAGCAGGGAAGAACGGUCUCUGUGCUAUUCAGCAGUGAAUUGACGGUACCUGCAAAGGAAGCACCGGCUAACUCCGUGCCAGCAGCCGCGGUAAUACGGAGGGUGCGAGCGUUAAUCGGAAUUACUGGGCGUAAAGCGCUCGUAGGCGGUCUGUCAAGUCAAGGGUGAAAUCCCCGGGCUCAACGUGGGAACUGCCUUUGAAACUGGCAAACUGGAGGGUGUGGGAGGAUAGUGGAAUGCCAGGUGUAGGAGUGAGAGCCGUAGA
rnacentral:rRNA from 1 species